GCAGAACGCGAAGAACCUUACCUGGGUUUGACAUCCCUUGACCGCCCUAGAGAUAGGGCUUUGUAGCAAUACACAAGGAGACAGGUGCUGCAUGGCUGUCGUCAGCUCGUAUCGUGAGAUGUCGGGUUAAGUCCCUUAACGAGCGCAACCCUUAUGCUUAGUUGCCACCAUUUAGUUGGGCACUCUAAGCAGACUGCCGGUGUUAAACCGGAGGAAGGUGGGGAUGACGUCAAGUCCUCAUGGCCUUUAUAUCCAGGGCUACACACGUGCUACAAUGGCUGAUACAAAGGGUUGCCAACCCGCAAGGGGGAGCUAAUCUCAGAAAGUCAGUCUUAGUUCGGAUCGAAGUCUGCAAUUCGACUUCGUGAAGCUGGAAUCGCUAGUAAUCGCGGAUCAGAACGCCGCGGUGAAUACGUUCCCGGGUCUUGUACACACCG
rnacentral:rRNA from 1 species